AUUCCUUUUGGUAGAGCUUGUUGAACACAACUGACUGCUCUGUAUGGGUUCCCAAUCACUGCAUUUCUCCCAUCCCCUGCGUUAGGAAGGAUAUGGGUGUUCAAAACAAAGCCUCACUUACCUGGGUGCUGGCAUAGGCUCUGCAGAAAGGAGCAGGCUGGAAGGAGGACCUCCUGCACUUCUUGCUGACGGAGACCCACAAGAAAAAGGAAAAAACCAGCGUGAAGUGAAAAAAAAAAAGAGUGAAACCAGCUUAAUGAGCAAAGCCAGAAGAUCCAAGACCCCCAAGCAAAAGAGGACUUGGGCCACAUGGAAUCCAGGAAUCCUUCAGGAGAUUGCUCCCAGAGGAGUUCUGGGUCUUCACACAGCUCAUCGCACCUCCAGCUGCUGCAGAAGGGAUAGGAAAUGUUUGCAAGGGGAUAGUGUGCAAGGAAUGAGCCCAGCUGUCUGGCAUGCUGUGCAAGAUGUCCUGAAUGUUGUGAUUGCGCUUUGAAUGGCUUCCUAAAUUCUGCUUCUGAAAUCACAUGUUUAUGGGCAUGGUGCCAUCAUAUUGUGAGGAAAAAUGCCCUGUCCCAUUUGCAGGCCUCAUCUGGUGAAGGCUUCACUGCUUUGAGCAAACUCAGUAAAUGCUUUAGGUUUUGCAGGAGCACUAAGUAAAAAGUACGUAAAUCUUAAAAGUACAUUUACGUUUAAAAAAAACGUACCCUGAAUUUAUCAACACUUAUAUUUGCAGGUCACACUUUACUUGCACUUAUAGGUUUAAGUCUAACCCUUCUCAUUACUUCAAUGCCGCUUUUAAACCUCUAAUGCAUAUUUAAGUGGUAGUAUUAAAAAACUGUGUGUCAACUGCCAUUGAUGUGCGAUGUAGGGCACUGACCCUUUGAACACAUUAUCAUGUCAUUGGGCCCAUUAAAUGGAGCCAUUUCUGUUGCUCUUAAUUGGGUUGUGCGGUGUGCAGCAGUCGCAAGUGGUUACAGUUUAUGCCAUGAAUUAUAAUAACAAUAAUAUCGGAUAGUGUGGCAUAGAUCUAUACGGAUACCGAAUGCAUACGAUCAGUGAUUGCUUUCGUUGCUAGAGUAUCAUAUCUAUUCAACUUGUCACCCCUCCCUUUAAAAGUAGUAAAGGUUUAAUUUACGAG
ensembl:lncRNA